rnacentral:rRNA from 1 species
UCAGAUUGAACGCUGGCGGCAGGCCUAACACAUGCAAGUCGAGCGGUAGAGAGAAGCUUGCUUCUCUUGAGAGCGGCGGACGGGUGAGUAAUACCUAGGAAUCUGCCUGAUAGUGGGGGAUAACGUUCGGAAACGGACGCUAAUACCGCAUACGUCCUACGGGAGAAAGCAGGGGACCUUCGGGCCUUGCGCUAUCAGAUGAGCCUAGGUCGGAUUAGCUAGUUGGUGAGGUAAUGGCUCACCAAGGCUACGAUCCGUAACUGGUCUGAGAGGAUGAUCAGUCACACUGGAACUGAGACACGGUCCAGACUCCUACGGGAGGCAGCAGUGGGGAAUAUUGGACAAUGGGCGAAAGCCUGAUCCAGCCAUGCCGCGUGUGUGAAGAAGGUCUUCGGAUUGUAAAGCACUUUAAGUUGGGAGGAAGGGCAGUUACCUAAUACGUGAUUGUCUUGACGUUACCGACAGAAUAAGCACCGGCUAACUCUGUGCCAGCAGCCGCGGUAAUACAGAGGGUGCAAGCGUUAAUCGGAAUUACUGGGCGUAAAGCGCGCGUAGGUGGUUUGUUAAGUUGAAUGUGAAAUCCCCGGGCUCAACCUGGGAACUGCAUCCAAAACUGGCAAGCUAGAGUAUGGUAGAGGGUAGUGGAAUUUCCUGUGUAGCGGUGAAAUGCGUAGAUAUAGGAAGGAACACCAGUGGCGAAGGCGACUACCUGGACUGAUACUGACACUGANGUGCGAAAGCGUGGGGAGCAAACAGGAUUUAGAUACCCUGGUAGUCCACGCCGUAAACGAUGUCAACUAGCCGUUGGGAGUCUUGAACUCUUAGUGGCGCAGCUAACGCAUUAAGUUGACCGCCUGGGGAGUACGGCCGCAAGGUUAAAACUCAAAUGAAUUGACGGGGGCCCGCACAAGCGGUGGAGCAUGUGGUUUAAUUCGAAGCAACGCGAAGAACCUUACCAGGCCUUGACAUCCAAUGAACUUUCUAGAGAUAGAUUGGUGCCUUCAGGAACAUUGAGACAGGUGCUGCAUGGCUGUCGUCAGCUCGUGUCGUGAGAUGUUGGGUUAAGUCCCGUAACGAGCGCAACCCUUGUCCUUAGUUACCAGCACGUAAUGGUGGGCACUCUAAGGAGACUGCCGGUGACAAACCGGAGGAAGGUGGGGAUGACGUCAAGUCAUCAUGGCCCUUACGGCCUGGGCUACACACGUGCUACAAUGGUCGGUACAAAGGGUUGCCAAGCCGCGAGGUGGAGCUAAUCCCAUAAAACCGAUCGUAGUCCGGAUCGCAGUCUGCAACUCGACUGCGUGAAGUCGGAAUCGCUAGUAAUCGUGAAUCAGAAUGUCACGGUGAAUACGUUCCCGGGCCUUGUACACACCGCCCGUCACACCAUGGGAGUGGGUUGCACCAGAAGUAGCUAGUCUAACCCUCGGGAGGACGGUUACCACGGUGUGAUUCAUGACUGGGGUG